rnacentral:rRNA from 1 species
UACAGAGGUCUCAAGCGUUGUUCGGAUUCAUUGGGCGUAAAGGGUGCGUAGGCGGCGCGGUAAGCCGGGUGUGAAAUCUCGGAGCUUAACUCCGAAACUGCAUUCGAUACUGCCGUGCUUGAGGACUGGAGAGGAGACUGGAAUUUACGGUGUAGCGGUGAAAUGCGUAGAUAUCGUAAGGAAGACCAGUGGCGAAGGCGGGUCUCUGGACAGUUCCUGACGCUGAGGCACGAAGGCCAGGGGAGCAAACGGG